rnacentral:rRNA from 1 species
AUUGAACGCUGGCGGCAGGCCUAACACAUGCAAGUCGAACGAGUGGCGGACGGGUGAGUAAUGUCUGGGCAACUGCCCGAUGGAGGGGGAUAACUCCUGGAAACGGUAGCUAAUACCGCAUACCAUCGGAUGUCCCCAGAUGGGAUUAGCUAGUAGGUGGGGUAAAGGCUCACCUAGGCGCCGCUCCCUAGCUGGUCUGAGAGGAGGACCAGCCACACUGGAACUGAGACACGGUCCAGACUCCGACGGGAGGCAGCAGUGGGGAAUAUGGCAAAAUGGGCGCAAGCCUGAUGCAGCCAUGCCGCGUGGAUGAAGAAGGCCUUCGGGUUGUAAAGUACUUUCAGCGGGGAGGCGUUACCCGCAGAAGAAGCACCGGCUAACUCCGUGCCAGCAGCCGCGGUAAUUC